GUCCACGCCCUAAACGAUGUCGACUGGUUGUUGGGUGGGUAACCACUUAGUAACGAAGCUAACGCGUGAAGUCGACCGCCUGGGGAGUACGGUCGCAAGAUUAAAACUCAAAGGAAUUGACGGGGACCCGCACAAGCGGUGGAUGAUGUGGUUUAAUUCGAUGCAACGCGAAAAACCUUACCUACACUUGACAUGUCAGAGAUCCUUCAGAGAUGAGGGAGUGCCGCAAGGAAUCUGAACACAGGUGCUGCAUGGCUGUCGU
rnacentral:rRNA from 1 species